rnacentral:rRNA from 1 species
CCAAAAACAUCGCCUCUUGAAAAAACAUAGGAGGUCCAGCCUGCCCAGUGAAAAAUUUAACGGCCGCGGUACCCUGACCGUGCGAAGGUAGCAUAAUCACUUGUCCCUUAAAUAGGGACUAGCAUCAACGGCAUCACGAAGGCUGAACUGUCUCUUUUCUCCAAUCAGUGAAACUGAUCUCCCCGUGAAAAAGCGGGGAUUGACUUAUAAGACGAGAAGACCCCAUGGAGCUUUAGGUAAUGUAUACACCUAAAUUUGUUACACCAACUAAAUAUGAUAGCUUGAUUACUAACCUUAGGUUGGGAGGACCGCGGAGUACAACUAAACCCCCACAACAAAAAGGCAACACCUUUAUCCACGAGCUACAGCUCUAAGAAUUAAAAUAUUAAUGUCCAAUGACCCGAUAAUUCGAUCAACGAACCAAGUUACCCUGGGGAUAACAGCACAAUCUGCUUAAAGAGCUCAUAUCGACAAGCAGGUUUAUGACCUCGAUGUUGGAUCAGGGUAUCCCAGUGGUGCAGCCGCUACUAUAGGUUUGUUUGUUCAACAAUUAAACCCUACGUGAUCU